AAAAGAAAAAAUACACAUAUUUAUAUUUGUAUCAGAUGGCACUGGUGAAAUGAAAUUUUUUUUAAGUAGAAAAUAAGUAUAAUUGAAAAACGGCUACCCCAAAAUAUCAAGCUCUAAUCCCUGGAGAACUUGUAAAUAUUACUUUAUUUGGAAAAAGGGUCUCUGCAGAUGUAAUUAAGCAUUUUAGAGAUGAGAUUAUGAGUGGGGCCUGAAUGCCAUCACAAGUGCCCUUGUAAGAGAAACAAAGGAAGAUACCAGAAGAAGGCAACAUGAAGAUGGCAGAGAGGGAUGUAGCCACAAGUCGAGUAAUGUUGACAGCUUCCAGGAGCUAGAAGAGACAAGGAAGGUAUUCUCUCCUAGAGCCUCUAGAGGAAAUGGUGCCUUGCCAACAUCUUGAUUUUGGAUUUCUGGCCUCCAAAAUGGUGAGAUGAUGAAUUUCUGUUGUCUUAAAGCCACCCGAUUUGUUGUAAUCUGUUACAGCAACUCUAGGAAACAAAUGCAAGUUACUAUAUAUGUCUGAUGUCAGAAAUCCAGUCCCUGCAGUUAAGGAUGUGUUGGUCCAGAAAUACACUUCCUUUAACUUCUUCCACCCCCAAGAAGCACUUGAUAGACGAAGAGAAGAACUGGCUCUCCCAGAAGGUGCCUCUGGAGAAGCCUGGUCAGCCUAUUAUUUUUCUCAUUUCAGACAUUCUGGGACCACAAGAGAAACCUACCAGAAAAUACAAAUGGUCCAACUCUGAAUGGGAAUGAAAAACAUACCUGUACAAAAUAUGCACUAAAAAAAAAAAAUCAGAAGUCUAACAAUAUAUAUUGAACAACUGUGUAUUACAAAGACUCCCUGGCAAGUUCUCAUCUGUUCUGACCAGUUGGUAUUUUCAGCGUUCUUCUUUCACUUUGGCCAUUUUGGUUGGUAUGUAAUGGUAUUGUGGUUUUAGUUUGCAUUUCCCUAGUUAUUAGUGGGGUUGAGCACCUUUUUCAUAUUACUAUAGGCCAUUUCCUCUUUUAUGAAAUGCCUUUGUAAGUAUUCUUUUCUAAAUCGAUUUCGAGGUGUUCUUUAUAUAUUCUGGAUCUGACUCCUUUGUCAGCUAUACCUGUGGCAAAUAGCUUGUCCCUCUCUGACUUGCUUUGUCAUACACUUAAUGGUGUCUCUUGAGAAGUUCUUAACUUUAAACUAGAGAAAUGUAUUAUUCUUUUCCUUUAUAGUUAGUGCUUUUUGUGUUGCAGGGUUUUUAUUAAAUCAUUUUCUACUGACUUUUUUUUUUUUGAAAUGGAGCCUUGUUCUGUAGCCUAGGCUAGAGUGCAGUGGCGCCAUCUCAGCUCACUGCAGCCUCUGCCUCCUGGGUUCAAGUGAUUCUCCUGCCUCAGCUUCCCGAGUAGCUGGAUUUAUAGAUGUCCACCACCACUCCCGUCUAAUUUUUGUAUUUUUAGUAGAGACAGGGUUUCACCAUGUUGGCCAGGCUAGUCUCAAACUCCUGACCUCAAGUAAUCCACCCACCUCAGCCUCCCAAAGUGUUGGAAUUACAGGCGUGAGCCACUGCACCCAGCCUUUGUGUUCUGCUUAAGAAGUCCUUACUCUAAGUUCAUGAUUAUAUUCUGUGUUACAUUUUAAAUGUUUUGCCUUUUAAAUUUAGCUCUAAAACAGAUCUGGAAUAGAUGUUUAUGUGUAGUAUGAGGUAGGAGUCAGGUUUCAUUCCUCUACCUACAGAUUGUUCCUGCACCAUUUAUUGAAAAGACAUUUUGUCUAGUGCACUUCACUGCCAUCUUUGCUGUAAAUCAAGUGUCCAUAUAUACUUGAGUGUCCAGUAUACUUGAGUUUAUUUCUGGGGUCUGUAUUCUGUUUCAUUAGCCUGUUUAUUUCUCCAUUUUCCAAUACCACACUCUUAAUUACUCUAGUAUUACACAUAUCAAUAUCUUAAUGAGAAAGUUCUCUAACCCUGUUCUCCUUUUUUGAUGUCUUGUAUCAUUGUAUUUCCAAAAAAUUUUAGAACCAGCUUACCAACUUACACACAAGUACACUUACACAUAUGCAUACAAUUGCAAUUUUCAUUGUGAUUUUCUUGAAUCUAUAUAUCAUUUUGAAGGAGAGUAACAUCUUGAAAUUUAGUCUUCUGAUCUAUGAAUGUAGUAUAUUUCUCCACUUAGAUUUUCUAUUGCUCUGUUUUAUUGUUUUGGUUUAAGAGUUUCAUACUUUUUAUGUAAGAUUUAUUUUUAAGCAGUAUGUUUGAUGCUAUUAUAAAUAGUAGCUUCUAAAUUUUCAGUUGUUAAUUAUUCUCUCUUUUAAGAGAUGGUUUCUUGCUCUGUUGCCCAGGCUGGAGUGCAGUGGUGCAAUCACAGCUGACUAUAGCCUCGACCUCCUCCAAGGUAGAAGGGACUACAAGUGCACACCACAUGGACCCAGCUAAUUUUUUAAUGUUUUUGUAGAGACGGGGUCUACUAAUUUUGCCCAAGCUGGUCUUGAACUCCUAGGCUCAAGUGAUUCUCCUGCCUUGGCUUUCCAAAGUGUUGGGAUUACACUUACGAGCCACUGUGCCCAGACUUUGAUUAUUUUUUGUCAAAUAGAAAUAAAAUUGAUUUUUUAAUGUUGUUCCAGUGUCCAACAGUCUUACCAAACUCACUGAAUCCUAAUAAUAAUAAUAAUCUCAGAUUUUCUAUAUAGACAUGUAAUCUGCAGCUAAAGGCAGUUCUAUUUCUUCCUUUCUAAUUCUUAUGCCUUUUAUUUUUUCAGUUACCCAGAACUUCCAAUAUAAUGAAUAGAAGUGAUGAUAGAGAAAAACUGUCAACAAUAAAUACACUGUGUGCAUCUAUCCACAAGAUCUCUGAAGAGAUCAGGUGUCCAAGCUUUGGCCCAGCAAACACAUUCUAGAAACUUCUUGCCAGAGAAGCAGCCAUUCUCAGCUCAGGUAAGGUUGUUCAAAGCCAACAGCAGGUGGGAAAAUAGAAGGGAAACAUUAUGGAAAUCAAGUGUACAUUAAGAAUUGCCUUACAGUAGACUUGGACACACAGCUGAAAAAUGAAAGUCAGACUCAAUUGCCCGAUGUACUUUUCUCUUUUCACAUUUACAUGCGUACUUGGGAUAAACAAUAAUUGAGACCACCUGUGCCCAACACGCUAUGCCAGCAAAAAUUGUUGCCUUUAGUGAGAUCUUGUUAAAAAGCAGGUGUGUGAGAGCCUGACCAUAAUAAGAAUUGGAGACCCUAAAAGAGACCAUGUUAAAAGCUCAGAUUUUUCAGCAACUACUCAAGACCUCAAGACUGGGCUGUUUUUGUUCCUCAGGCAGCAGGAAUUCUGCAUGGCUCUAUAAACCAUAACACACGGGGUCCUUGUUUGCUUGAGGGCACUAAGAUGAUGACUGGUGUUUUAUACAGAGCAUACUUGCUGUGCAUCGCAUAUAGCAGGGACUUAAUAGUGGAUGAGCAGAUCAUGAAUGGCUUGAGAAAAGCCAUUUGAUAAUUUCAACUGAAACCUCAGACACAAAUCUUGAUGUAGCAUCGCAUGUGGAAAACACCACGUGCCAAACCCUGUGACAUGGACAUUGGACUUUCCUAGCCUGCCAGGCGCUAAGGAAGGGGACAACCCAUUGCAGCCAAGCCAGGAAGUCAAUGAGAGGCAAACACAGCAUGGUCUAGGAUUAAACAAACCUCUUAGUGAUCUCCUUGACUCAGAAUCCAGAAUGCAGGGCAGUUCUUUGACCUGCCUUACAUUGGCACACUCGUCUUUCUGCUUGGCAGUUUGUGAACUGAGUAGAGAGUUUUCUCUCUUGUCUGCCAGUCACCUCUUGCAGCUCUCUGACAUAAUGAAUAAUCUGAAGGCAGGCAGGCACUUCAGUCUAGCUGAAGGCUGCUCUUGUGAAAGUUCCUCAGGCCCUUGGUGUUUCAUAAAAUGGGGGAUUUGUAAGGACUAGUGAAAGAGAAAAUCAGCAACAUAGGCUUCUGAUGAAACAGGUGGUAAAAAUGCUCACAUAAUUACCAUCUCCAUUUUCCUUCUUAAGAAAAAAACACAAAGUAGAACUUCCAGAAUAGGUUCAAUUAUCGGUUUAUUCAGUAGACUUUUUUUUUUUUUUUUUUUUGAGACGGAGUCUCGCACUGUCACCCAGGCUGGAGUGCAGUGGCACAAUCUUUGCUCACUGCAAACUCUGCCUCCCGGGUUCAAGCGAUUCUCCCGCCUCAGCCGCCUGACCAGCUGGGACUACAGGCACCCGCCACCAUGCCCAGCUAAUUUUUGUAUUUUUAGUAGAGACGAGGUUUCACCAUGUUGGCCAGGAUGGUCUUGAUCUCCUGACCUCGUGAUCCACCCGCCUCAGCCUCCCAAAGUGCUGGGAUUACAGGUGUGAGCCACCACACCUGGCCAUUAGACUUUUAUUAGUUCCAGAUUUCUAUUUUACAGCCCCAGCCUAACAAGGGAGGAGAGAGGGGAGCUCAGCAAGUUCCGGCACAGGAGGAGCUGAGUAAACACAAGUCCUGUGAUGGGCAUGGGCUUUGCUUAUGUGAUCUAAUUCUCACAACCAUCCUAGAAAAGAGCUUUUACUCUCCCAGUUUCAUAGAUUAUGAAACAGAUGGUUGGAGAUGAUACAUAUCUUGCUCAAAGCCAAAGAGCUAAUAACUGGGUAUUCCCUGGAACACCCAAGGGUCAGGAUGCAACACCUCCAGGGCACUUGAGCUCUCCUUCCUGCUCUCCACUUGUCAUUUCAGCUGUCUGUUGGCCUUAUCCUUCCCCAUUACCAGCAGGUUUUCUUCACGUGCUGGGCUAUAGUUAUGUGAAGUGUCUGGGGUCAUACAGGAACUGACCCCGCUCUACAAGCUGGAAAUUCCAGGGAAGGCCUCACCCUAGCCUGCCCUCAUGCACACACCUGUGGGGAGGAGAGAACUGGUUACUGUGACUGGCAGGCCCACCAGAACCCCACAGAUUGGGGAAGCAAUAGUUGCCCAAAGAAAUGGAUUUGGGGAAUUGUUAUAAGACAGGGAAACAUAGGAACUCUUACAGGACAGAAUGACGAACUGGGGUUAAGUCUGGUAAGUUACCUGCUGCCAGUGCUUAUCUCUGUUGUCUCAAAGGGGACAGCCAUUUACAUAGGUCUCAGAGAGGCAGAUGCAGAAAAGAGGAGUCUAAGCUACUCUGCUAGACUUACAGGGACCGUCUUCCUGGCUGUCACCUGGCUGGAGGGGAAAAUGCCUGCAGCCUCAAAUCUUUUGCUCAUUAGGAGCCCAGACCCAACACUGUGUUCUGUGCCCUAGAAACUUAGGAAGAUGUUGUAUUAUUUAAACCAAAUAGUGUAGGCUGGACAGGGUUCAGAAUGAAAGGCUUCAAACAUUUUUUAAUUUGAAAAUAAGUACUAAAAAUAGGCAGUUACCAAAUGCCAGUAACAAUCUAGCAGCAGUACCUACCCCAAGGUCCAGGCCACAGCAGACACCUUGUGGGCUUUGGGGAGGUCCAAGGCCAGAAAGCACAUUCAGUGUCUGCUCCAAGUAGUAAGUGAGUCUACUCAGGCCCAGGCAGGACCACAACUCUACCUUCCCCGUCCUGUCCUUCCUGGAACAGAAAGAGCUCUUUGGCCUCAUCUGGUCUAUUUCUUUGAUCCUCAAGGAAGCCAUGAGCUCAAAUAGAAUUUAAAUGCAAAUUGUGUAUUUUUGGUAAUGAUAGAAAAAUAACUACUUUUAAAGCUUGUUAGUGCUUUAGCAUGUUAUAGCUCUAGGGUUUCAGAGAAAUGAAGAACUUGACAAGCAGGAGUUCAAGCACAAGGUCAAGUUUCUCCUUACAUUUUGCACUUGUACAAUCUCAGUGCUGACUAGCAGCUUUAUCUCUAGUGUCCUAGGAGAUUUUAUGGAUUACAUAUACGUGAGAGAUCAUUUGGUAUUUGGGUUUAUUCAAUGUGUAUAAAUGCCUCAAACAUGUUUCUCUCAUGGGAGUUGCAACCCUCCAUCACUGCAACCCUCCAUCACUGCCCACUGGUUUUCACCUCCCUCUCUGGCUACAACCCACCACAACAGUACAUGUGUUAGUCUUUCUUGGUUUGUUUUUUGGGCUUGGGAGUUUUUUGGCAUUAAAAUGUGGUAAAAUGCACAUAACAAAAUGUACUUGUCUUAACCGUUUUUAAGUAUACAGUUCAGUAGCAUUAAGGACAUUCACGUUUUGCAGCCAAUCUCCAAAACAUUUUUACCUUGCAAAACUGAAACUCUAUACCCAUUAAACAACUCCACAAUCCCCACUGCCCCUCUCCCUUGGCAACCAUCAUUCUACUUUCUGUGUCUGUGAAUGUGACUACUCUAAAUACCUCAUAUAAGUGGAAUCAUACUUGUCUCUUUGUGGCUUAUUUCACUGGAAAUACUGUCCUCAAGGUUUAUCCAUGUUGUAGCAUGUGUCAAAAUUUCCUUUCUUUUUAAGGCUGAAUAUUUUAUUGGAUGUAUGAACGACAUUUUGUUUAUCCAUUCAUCUGUCAAGGACACUUGGGUUGCUUCCACUUCUUAGUUAUUGAGAAUAAUGCUGCUGUGAACAUGGGUGUACAGAUAUCUCUUUGAGACCCUAUGCUCAAUUAUUUUGGUUAUAUACCCAGAAGUGAGAUUGCUGAAUCAUAUGGUAGUACUAUUUUUAAUUCUUUGAGGAAACUCCUUAUUGUUUUCCAUAGCAGUUGCAUUAUUUUGGAUUCCCACCAAUAGUGCACAAGGGUUCCAAUUUCUCCACACCUCAACACCACUUGUAAUGUUGUUUUGUUUGCAUAGUAACUAUCCUCAUUGGUGUAAGGUGGUAUCUCAUGAUUUUGAUUUGCAUUUUCCUAAUGAUUAAUGAUGUUGAGCCUCUUUUCAUGUGCUUAUUUGCCAACUAUAUAUCUUCAAAGAAAUGUCUAUUCAAGUCCUUUGCCCAUUUUUAAAUCAGAUUGUUUUUUGUUGUUGACUUGUAGGAAUUCUUUAUGUAUUCUGGAUAUUAACUCCUCAUCAGACAUAUGAUUUGCAAAUAUAUUUUCACAUUCCAUAGGUUGCCUUUUCACUCUAUUAAUUAUGUUCUUUGAUGCACAUAAGUUUUAAAUUUUGAGGUAGUCCAACUUGUGUAUUUUUACUUUGGUUUCCAGUGUUUUCAGUAUCAUAUCCAAGAAAUCAUUGCUAAAUCCAAUGUCAAGAAAUUGUUCCCUCUAUGUUGUCUUCUAGGAGUUCUAUAGUUUUCAAUCUAAUGUUUAGGUCUUUAAUCCGUUUUAAUUUUUACAUAUGGUAUAAGGUAAAAAUUAGACUUCAUUCUUUUGCAUGUGGAUAUCUAAUCCCAGCACCAUUUGUGGGGGUAAAGAAACAAAACUGUCCUUUCUCCAUGGAGUGGUCCUUGCACCCUUGACAAACAUCAUUUGACCACACAUGGGAGGAUUUAUAUCUGGACUCUCUAUUCUGUAUAUUAGUUUAUAUGUUUGUCUUUAUACCAGUACCACACUGUUUUGAUUACUGUAGAUUUAUAAUAAGUUUUAAAAUUACAAAGGAUGAAACUUACAAUCUUUUUUCUUCCAACAUUCUUCUUUAUCAAGAUUAUUUUCACUCUUGAGGGUCCCUUGAGAUUCCAUAUGCAUUUUAGGAUGGGUUGGUUUUUUCCUGCAAAAAAUGCCAUUAAGAUUUUUUAAAUAUUUUUUAUUUUUGUUUGUAGAGAUGGGAUCUCGCUUUGUUGCUGAGGCUGGUCUCAAACUGCUGGCCUCAUGCGAUACUCCCACCUUGGCCUCCCCAAAUUCUGAGAUUACAGGCAUGAGCUGCCACACCCAGCCACCAUUAGGAUUUUGAUACCAAUUGCAUUAAGUCUGUGGAUUGCUUUGUGUAGUAUCAACAGUUUAACAACAGUAAGUCUUCCGAUCCAAGAACACAGUAUGUGUUUUCAUGUACUGAUGUCAUCUUUAGUUUCUUUCAGUAACAUUCUGUUAGUUUUCAGUAUACAUGUCUUUUGCCUCCUUGGUUAAAUGUACUCCUAGGUAUUUUUUUUUAAAUUUCUGAUGCUAAUGCAAACAAUUGUUUUCUUAAUUUCCUUUUCAGGUUUUUUAUUGUUAUGACACAACUAAUUUUUUGCCUGUUGAUUUUUAUACCUUACAACCUUGCUGAAUUUGUUUAUUAGUUCUAACAGGCUUUUGGUGUUGUCAGGACUAAUGGAAUAAUUAGGAUUUUUCUACAUAUAAGAUUAUGUUGCCUGUGAAGAGAGAUCAUUUUACAACUUCUUUUCUAGUCUGGAUGCCUUUUAUUUCUUUUUCUUGCCUAAUUGCUCUGGCUAAGACUUCCAGUAUUUUGUUCAGUAGAACUCAUGAAAGUAGACAACCAUGUCUUGUUCCUGAUCAUAGAGGAAAAGCUCACAGUCUUUCACCAUUGAGUAUGAUGUCUGCUGUGGGCUUUUCAUAUGUGGCAUUUAUUACAUUGAGGUAAUUUUCUUCUCCUAGUUUGAAUGUUUUUAUUGUGAAAGGGUGUUGAACUUUGUCAGAUUUUUUUUUUUUGCAUCACGUGAAAUGAUUAUGCGGGUUUUUCUUUCAUUCUGCAAAUGGUGGUAUCUUUAUAUUGAAUGAUUUUCCUAUAUUGAACCAUUCUUGUAUUCCAGGAAUAAAUCCCACUUGGUCAUGGUGUGUAAUCCUUCUAAUGUGCUGUUGAAAUCUAUUUACUAGCAUUUUGUUCAGGAUUUUGCAUUGCAUUUUACUUGCUGCUUUCAAGAUUUCUUCUUUGUCUUUGCUUUUUGAUUAUAAUGUUUCUCAGUGUAGGUCUCCUACUUGUUAAUUGAGCCUCUCAUAUUUAUAUUUCCAUUUCAUUCCUCAAAGCUGGGAAAUUUACAGACAUUAUAUUUUUCACAUAAGGUCUUUUCCCCUUUCUCUCUUUCUUCCGUUUGAGACCCUUUUAAUGUAUAUAUUGGUUGGCUUGAUAGUGUCCCUUAAGUCCCUUAGAAACUCUUCACUUUUCUUCAUUCUUUUUGUACCUGAUUCAGCACCUUCAAAUGUCAUGUCUUCAAGUUUGCUGAUUCCUUCUGCUUCGAGUCUUCUAGAGAAUUUUUCAAUUCAACAAUUGCAUUUUUCAGCUCCAGAAUCUGGCUUUUAAAAAAAUUUCUCAGCCAGGCAUGGUGGCUCAUGCCUGUAAUCCCAGCACUUUGGGAGGCCGAGGUGGGGAUCAUGAGGUCAAGAGAUCGAGACCAUCCUGGCCAACAUGGUAAAACCCCAUCUCUACUAAAAAUACAAAAAAAAAAUUAGCUGGGCACGGUGGCACAUGCCUGUAAUCCCAGCUACUCGGGAGGCUGAGGCAGGAGAAUUGCUUGAACCCAGGAGGCGGAGCUUGCAGUGAGCUGAGAUCGCGCCAGUGCACUCCAGCCUGGGCGACAGAAACUCUGUCUCAAAAAAAAAAAAAUUAUCUGUUAAUAUUCUCAUUUUGCUCAUAAAUUGUUUUCCUAAUUUUAUUAAGUUGUGUUCUAUUUUAGCUUACUGAGCACAUAUUUAAGAUACUUGUGGUGUUUUUGUUUUGUUUUGAGACAGAGUCUCAUUCUGUCACCCAGGCCGGAGUGCAGUGGCGCAAUCUUGGCUUACUGCAACCUCUGCCUCCCAGGUUCAAGCAAUUCUUCUGCCUCAGCCUCCUAAGUAGCUGAGACUACAGUCACGUGCCACCAUGCCCAACUAAUUUUUGUAUUUUUUAGUAGAGAGAGGGUUUCACCACAUUGGCCAGGCUGCCUUGAACUCCUGGCCUCAAGUGAUACACCAGCCUCAGCCUCCCGAAGUGCUGGGAUUACAGGUGUGAGCCACCACACCCAGCCCGACAGUUGUUUACAUACUUUGUCAAGUAAGUCAGAGGUCUGUGUUCUUUAGGACUGAUUUCUGGAGAUUUAUUUUGUACCUUUGAAUAGACUGUGUUUCAUUGUUUCUGUGUACACCUUGUGAUCUCUUUUUGAGAUGUGGUUAUUUGAAGAAACAUCCGCCUCUCCCAGUCUUUACCAGCUGGCUUUGUGCAGGGGAAUAUCUUCACUAAUCAGCCUAGCUUAAAGGCUCAAGUCUUCUCAAGUCUCUUCUGGGGCUGUGUCUUCCCUGGGACCAUGUGUGUGUGUUAUUUUUGUAUUACUUGUGUUUACUUGUAUUGUACUUAGGUGUCACUUGCAUUCCUCUUCUUGUCAUCUAUUGCCCCAAAGCAUCCAUGGAUCUGGGAGCUGCCUGCUAUUCUAGUUCUCCAGAGCACUCCCCCUCGGCUUUGCAGCCUCUAACCAUGUGUCCAAAGUAUGUCACUGUUCCUAUCAGUACUCUGAGUCAGGAAAGACAGAAACUAGUCCCUUAAGCAGCCCUCAGACAAGCUAGAAAGUUACAAGCAAGCUCCACCUUUUUCCUUUAGUCCCAAGGGAGAAACUGGGACUGAGGCAGUUUCCUUUGACAAUACCAUGCUGCACCAGGGAAGCGGUGGAAUAAAAGUGACCAAAAUUUCAUGAAAUUUCCUAUAACUUUGCGUAUGUCUUGUUCUUGUUUAGACAUUCACUUGGUUGCCGCAGCUUCUUAGCUGGUUUCUAGAGUUUUUACAAGAUAUUUUGGUCUGAAUAUUGUCUAUACAGUGCUUCCAUGGGGAAACGAGCCUGGAGCUUCCUAAUCUGCCAUCUUGCUGAAUGUCACCCCCCUAAUCCUUCUUGUUUAAAACAUAUUGUUAUUUUGUUUUAUAUUACUGAAUAAAAUUAGUAGGAUAAAGGGAGUGAAAUGCAAAUAGUAUAGUAUGGCAUGAAAUUAAAAGUCUCCUUAUCCACUUCCCAAACCCCAUUCCCACUUCCUAAGGAUAACCACUUGUAGCCAUUUGUCUUUUGAAGUCUUCUGAGGGUUACUUCCUUUAAAUAACGUAAGUAUAACUUCAUUUCUUGAUUCAUCAACUUUGAAUUAUGCAAAUGAUUUUAUGCACCAAAAGAUGGGGCUUGUAACAGAAUCCUUGUCCUCCUCCUUCCAGUUUUUGUUAUAUUUUUACAUCUAAAUAUCUCAUCUGUUAGAACUUCAAAUGAUAAUUUUAAACAUAACAUGUAUAGAGAGUUCAUGAGUUCUGAAUAUGUAUAUAAAGGAGAUUGACAGUUAUAUUCCCCUCCAUUCCUUUAACCCUAUACCAUCUUCUGAAUUUUGUUUUCUAAAAUUUACAUUUUGUUCUGUGGCUAUAGUAUUUUAUGCUUUCACUUAAAAGGUGUUUAAAUAUAUUUAUAAUGCACUGUACAAACAAGAUAUGUGAUGAGCGCUAAAUGAAAUGCAAUAUUUGUCUCUAAAGUCAUCCCUCUCAGAUGACAUUUCCUUUCUUAAAUUUUACAGAACAUAUUUACUGAGUGCCUUCUGCAUGGCCCAUCCUGUUCUAGGCACUUGGAGUACACGCAGUAAUUGCUCAAAAUCAUGUUAUAUCUUUGGACCUGUUUUUGGUUUAGACAAACCUAUCUAGAAUUGUCUUUCCUUUUUGUUUGUUGAUGGUAAAAUGUAUGACACAGUUUGGAUAUUUGUCCCCACCCAAAUCUCAUGUUGAAUUGUAAUUCCCAAUGAUGGAGGUGGGGCUUGAUGGGAGGUGUUUGGGUCAUUGGGGCAGAUCCCUCAUGGCUUGGUGCUGUCUUUGCAAUAAUGAGUUCUUGUGAGAUCUGGUCAUUUAAAAGUGUGUGGCACCUGACCAGGUGCGGUGGUCAUGCCUGUAAUCCCUGCACUUUGGGAGGCCGAGGCAGGUGGAUCACCUGAGGUCAGGAGUUGGAGACCAGCCUGGCCAACAUGGUGAAACCCCGCCUCUACUAAAAAUACAAAAGUUAGCCAGGUGUGGUGGCACGUGCCUAUAGUUCCAGCUAUUCAGGUGCUGAGGCAGGAAAAUCGUUUGAACUCAAGAAGCGAAGGUUGCAGUGAGCUGAGAUUGCACCACUGCACUCCAGCCUGGGCAGCAGAGCAAGACUCCAUCUCAAAAAAAAAACAAAAGUGUGUGGCACCUCCCCCACAACUCUCUCUCUUGCUCAUGCUCUGGCCAUGUGAUGCCCCAGAAGCUGAGCAGGUGCUAGCACCAUGCUUCCUAUAAAGCCUGCAGAAGCGUGAGGCAAUUAAACCUCUUUUCUUUAUAAAUCACCCAGCCUUGGGUAUUUCUUUAUAGCAAUGCAAGAAGGCCUAACACAAUGUGUUAACUAUAUUACUAACAUCUCAGCUUCAAUGUCACUGUCUCAGCACGGUGAUAUUUUAAACUACAAUUCCUCUCCUACAUCCCCAGUUAUUUAUCCAGAGCACUUACCAUUUUCUAAUCUGUUACAUAAUUCACUUUAUUUGGCUUAAUGUCUUUCUGCAUCCCCCCACUAGAAUAAAAACUCUUGGAGGCUUAAGAAAUUUGUUCACUGCUGUAUCCUCAGUGUCUAAACAGUACCUGGGCACAUAAUGCUCGAUAAAAAAUGUUUUGAAUGCAUGGUAUCUUCCUGCUAUUGAAUGGUAUCCAUUUAAUCAUGCUUCUUGUAAACAGUUGUUCUAAAAAUCUCUCAUUGUUUGUUCUAAUUUGGAUAGAAUGCCUUCUAGGUUGGCUUCAGACCUAGAAAUCCUGAGAUUUAAUUUUAUUACUGGAUUUGUUCUCUAUUCUUGCAGAGUGUUUUCAGGAUGGGUGUGUGGAAAGUAAAGCCAUUCAUUGCUAGUGUAAUCAUCUUUAUUCUGCCAUCUUACUUCAUUGAGAGUAUGGCUGUAGACAGAAUUCUAGUUCAAAAUAAUGUCUUCUCCAAAGUCUGAGGGAAGUGCCCCCUUUUAUUCCAGACCACAGUAUUGCUGUUGAGAAAUCUGGUAAUCUUCAAAAGUUGAAGGGAUAAUCAGAGAAAUAAUUAUUUCCCAGAGCUGAAUAUGAGAGUCUUCAGAACAAAACGUCCUUGAGGGCUGUGAAGUGAGAAAGUAUAAAUGUAAAAACAAAUUUUUUGAAAUUUCAAGAGACUUUUUUUUAAAAUCUUUUUCCUCUGAAGAGCAUUUUCCUUGCUUUUUGUAAAACUCCCGUUAAUCACAGAUUGGACUGCCUGACCCUCUACUGUGUCCUUCACAGUAGAAUGAAUAUUUCCUAGAUUCUUUUGUUGUUGUUGAGACGGAGUGUCACUGUGUCGCCCAGGCUGGAGUGUAGUGGCACGAUCUUGGCUCACUGCAACCUCCGCCUCCUGAGUUGAAGCGAUUCUCCUGCCUCAGCCUCCUGAGUACCUGGGAUUACAGAUGUGCACCACCAAGCCUGGCUAAUUUUUGUAUUUUUAGUAGAGAUGGGGUUUCACCAUGUUGGCCAGGCUGGUCUCGAACUCCUGACCUUGUGAUUUGCCCACCUCGGCCUCCCAAAGUGUUGGGAUGACAGGCGUGAACCACUGUGUCCAACCCUUAGAUUCUUUUUUUAAAAGAGAUAGGGUCUUGCUAUGUUGCCCAGGAUGGACCCAAGUCCUGGGCUCAAGUGAUCCAUCUGCCUCACCCUCCAAAGUAGCUGGGACUACAGACAUGCGUCACCAUGCCCAGCUGAUACUUUUCUAAAAUGUCUAUCUGAUCAUACUAGUUUCCUAUAGGAAUAUCAGAUUGAAAAGAGGGAAGAAGGGACAAAGGACUGCUUGUUUCUGUUUCUGGUUUUAGGAGUAACAGAUCCUUCUAUGCUAUUGGCUUAGAUGGUCUGUGGCCUUAAUUCCAUUGUGCACAGAUUGGAUGUGGCUGCAUUUAGAGAGGGACAGUCGAGUCCCUUAUUAGGUACACUUACGCUGUACCUAUCCAGAGAAAAUCAGGUGAGCAAAACCUACAUACACUUGUGAAAAAUGAUAAUAGGACACAAUGGACAUUAUGGACAUUGGAAAGAGAUUGAACUUAAAAUUACCCCAUUUGGAAUCUGGGUGGUUUUGCCAAAAGACAGAAGCAGAGUGGUUUUUACUUCCUUUGCAGUAUUUCUGAAAAGUAAAAACAGUUUUUUGCAGAAACCCAGAAACAGCAGCUGAAAUGUUUUACAUACUCCCUAAGGAAGCAGCGCCCAGCAGAUGAAGCCCUGCGGGAGAGCACAGCAGCAGCGGAGGCUCUGGGGGAAGGCGUGGUGUCUAAGGCAAAGGACUCUGCCAGCUUACAUAUUUAUUUGAAAGACACAGACAUAAAAAGGAUGAAUAUGUUUAUAUAACUUAAAGCAAUGGUUAAGAAAUAGGUAACUAGGUGAGGCUCUGAAGAUUUUGAAAGAAGUGUGUUACUUGCUUGCUGCUCCUUUAAGGGAGAAAAACAAAACAAAAAACAUUCCCAUAAGCCUAGGAAUUCUUUCUGGGCCCCCAAGGCAGGUUCUCAGCUGCAUUUAACUGUCUAAAGCUACUGAACUCAUGAGUUCUAGUGAGUUGUAAAAGCUCUAAUGAACUCCAUAGCUUGGAUUUACAAAAUAGAAAAUCUGGGGGUUAGAAUGAAGCACCGGCUUUACUUUUCUGCAAAGAUUACCUUCUAAUGAGAUGAAAAUCAGCUUUCUUCAAUACCAAGAUCACCAUUCUUUGAGAACUUCCUUAUAAGGUCCCAGAUCAAACACUUGAUCUUACUCAGGGAGUAACUGUUUUCUUUAGUAAAUGCAAAGAUUUUUUUCUUCUUCUAGGCAUCAAAGGCAAACCAGAUACAACAUUAAGAUGAUGGGCAUUAAAAAGAUGAGGUAGGGGUCAAAAUGAGCCUAGAGGUUGCAUAUAUCUACAAUAAAGUUUUUUUUUUCCUUCCUGCAUAGAUGGAGCAGCUCAUUGAAAAACACUUUUAUUUUUUCAAAGAUUCAGGGUCUUGCUCUGUCACCCAGGCUGAAGUGCAGAGGCACCAUCGUAAGUCAAGCUCACUGUAACCUUGAACUCCAGGGCUCAAGGAAUCCUGGGACAAGGUAUCAAAGGCAAACCCUCAUAGUCUGAGAAACACUAUGAAAACCAAAAGUUAAGGUGCUACAACAUAAAAAGUCAGAUGAAGAUGAGUAAUUUAAUGGUUUCAUUCUUACUGGACCAUUCUAGAUGGAGACAAGUAGAAGGUAAAGUUUCAAUGACUUCUUUUAAGUUUGUGUAUAGUGUACUUUAAGCCGAGGGCACAGAAUUUCCUUCGUCUUUAUCAAUUUUGUAGAUGUUUGCGUCUUCAUAAAUAUUAGCAAUUUCUAGACUCUGAUACUCUAUUAUUUUAUAGAUAUUUCUUUUUGUGGUUAUGUGCCCCUCCUUCAACAUUUUAUGCAUAUCCUUUAAAAACAUAAGCUCACAAUGUAAUUGCUCUUGGUCUACCAACAUCAGUUUCUUCAGAUACUUUUUCAUAGUUGGGAUUGUCAGAAUUUUAUUUUGCAAAGAACUUCAUUUUAAGCCAAUUUCUUUUUAGAAUCUUUGGAUAUGGGAUAAGGACAAAAGUUACCAGAAGUUUUGAAAUAGUCUUUCCUAAUAUUUGUCUUUUCUGUUUUUAGAAUGUUUUGUGGCAAUUCUCAUAAAACAAAACCUAACUCACCUAUUCUCAGUAUUCGACCAGCAGAACACCUCACUUACCUGUGCACAUGAUCUAAUGCAACGAAGAGUCCCUAACAGGUUACACCUGGUGAGUAUGCAGACGUAGAGAUCUUCUUUGUCUUAAAACAGGUUUUAGCUGUGGCACGGACAUUUUGGACCCAAUCAAUCUUUGUGGUGGGGGCUGUCCUGUACAUCACAGCAUAUUUACCAGCAUCCCUACUUUCCACUCCCCAGAGCCUGCACCACCCCCUCCUCAAGCUGUGAUGACCAAAACUGUCUCCUGACAUUGCUCUAAUGUCUCCAUGGGGAGCAAAAUCACUCCCUAUGGGAACCAGUGUCAUAAACCAUUUUAGAGGCAAACUACAAACUAACUCCCCAAACUGUGAUGGUGGAAAUAGUCUAUAACUUCCUAAUACAGCAGCUGAUCACUACAUGACACUGCUAAGCACCUGAAAUGUGGCUAAGUAUGAGGAGAAUUCUUAAUUUAAUUUCAUUUUAAUUAAGUCCUACAUAUACUAUAAGGACAAGAUGCUUCAUCAUGGAAAGCUGUGUAGAUAUCUGAUACCUCUGUUAAAAAUCAUGUGGUUGAUAGGCAAUAAAAACUUACAGAAAGGGUUUCACCAUGUUGUCCAGGCUGGUCUCAAACUAUCCACCCACCUCCAUCUCCAAAAGAGCUGGGAUUACAGUUGUGAGUCACUGCACCAGGCAUAAAUGUUUUAUUAGUCCUAUUUCUAUCCAUUUAAUUUUCAUUCUGACUAGGUAUUUGUUAAAUUAAGAGGUGAACUGUGAAGUUAAAGAUUACAAUGAUAGAAAUUUAAAUUCUCUUUUAAAUCAAAAAGUUUUAAGUUGUUUUUUGCAUGAUAGGAAUCAUGACUGAAAAUAUAAGAAUGCAAAAAAGGUGCUCUAACUGAAUUCUGGUAAAUAAUUCCUUCCUUGAAAGAAAAGAAAAACUAAACAAAAUUUAAAGGAAAGGCCAACCAGGAUUGAAAGAAAACAUUUAUUGAAUCAAAA